GACCUGGGGUGGGGGAGGGGGGCAGCAGAUAGAUCCCUGCUGCUGGCCAGAAUUGGGAAAUAUAAGAAGAUGAUGCAGUCCUGUAGAUAUAAGUGUUCAGCGUGCCAUCUGAAGGAUUUACUACAGAGACAGAAAGCAAAGAAGUUAUGGAAGAAAAAGAUCAGGAAGACAAGUCAGCAGCAUAUGCCAAUGAUCUGGUUGAAGACACUGCUCGAACCCAUGACUUUCGGCGUCACAGUUUUUCCCAUGGCCAGCAAUAAGAAAAGCCUCUUUUGGUGCGGGCCCCAGAACACCAUAAUCAUCUUCGAUUUUACCUCUCUGCCCAGGGUCUUUUAAGUAAAAUUUCUCUCCUUUCACUGACAAA